rnacentral:rRNA from 1 species
GAUCAUGGCUCAGGAUGAACGCUAGCUACAGGCUUAACACAUGCAAGUCGAGGGGCAGCGCAGUGUAGCAAUACAUGGGCGGCGACCGGCGCACGGGUGCGUAACGCGUAUCCAACCUUCCCGUUACUCUUGGAUAGCCUUCCGAAAGGGAGAUUAAUACAGGAUGGUAUCUGAAAUUCGCAUGUUCUUCAGAUUAAAGAUUUAUCGGUAACGGAUGGGGAUGCGUGACAUUAGAUAGUAGGCGGGGUAACGGCCCACCUAGUCUACGAUGUCUAGGGGUUCUGAGAGGAAGGUCCCCCACACUGGAACUGAGACACGGUCCAGACUCCUACGGGAGGCAGCAGUGAGGAAUAUUGGGCAAUGGGCGGAAGGCUGAACCAGCCAAGUAGCGUGAAGGAUGAAGGUUCUAUGGAUUGUAAACUUCUUUUAUACGGGAAUAAAACCUCCCACGUGUGGGAGCUUGUAUGUACCGUAUGAAUAAGCAUCGGCUAACUCCGUG